AUUUAUGACAGCAAAAAGAGAAAAAGUUUUCGUCGUAACCACACAGUCAUAAUAUUAUUGUUAAGAUUCAACUCAUGUUUAUUUUGGGCAUAAUGUACCCAUGUCAUCUCGUUUAAUCUGUGUUAUCUCCACUUUGCAGAUGAAAUCCUCCAUUAACCCCAUUUUGCAGAUGAGAAUAGAGUGACUCAGAAAGGUUGAAAGAUUUGUCAAUGGCAGAUUAGGAGGAGAAGGUCCCAGCACUGAACUGAGCUCCCAGAUGAAAGACCCACUACAACCUAAAACAGUAAGGUUUACAAGAUCUAAGGGAUUUCCUCUUUCAUCAACACCUGAUUUUGUUUUUUGA
rnacentral:lncRNA from 1 species